rnacentral:rRNA from 1 species
UAACUCCGUGCCAGCAGCCGCGGUAAUACGGAGGAUCCAGCGUUAUCCGGAUUUAUUGGGUUUAAAGGGUGCGUAGGCGGCGUUGUAAGUCAGUGGUGAAAGUUUGCUGCUUAACUGUGAAAUUGCCAUUGAUACUGCAGUGCUUGAGUACAGAUGAGGUGGGCGGAAUGUGUCAUGUAGGGGUGAAAUGCAUAGAUAUGACACAGAACACCGAUUGCGAAGGCAGCUCACUAAACCGUAACUGACGCUGAGGCACGAAAGCGUGGGGAUCAAACAGGAUUAGAUACCCUGGUAGUCCACGCCCUAAACGAUGAUUACUCGAUGUUACCGAUAUACAGUUAGCGUCAAAGCGAAAGCGUUAAGUAAUCCACCU